ACGAACGCUGGCGGCAUGCCUAACACAUGCAAGUCGAACGAGACCUUCGGGUCUAGUGGCGCACGGGUGCGUAACGCGUGGGAACCUGCCCUUAGGUUCGGAAUAACUCCCCGAAAGGGGUGCUAAUACCGGAUAAUGUCUUCGGACCAAAGAUUUAUCGCCUUUGGAUGGGCCCGCGUUGGAUUAGCUAGUUGGUAGGGUAAAAGCCUACCAAGGCGACGAUCCAUAGCUGGUCUGAGAGGAUGAUCAGCCACACUGGGACUGAGACACGGCCCAGACUCCUAUGGGAGGCAGCAGUGGGGAAUAUUGGACAAUGGGCGAAAGCCUGAUCCAGCAAUGCCGCGUGAGUGAUGAAGGCCUUAGGGUUGUAAAGCUCUUUUACCCGGGAUGAUAAUGACAGUACCGGGAGAAUAAGCGCCGGCUAACUCCGUG
rnacentral:rRNA from 1 species